CCUACGGGGGGCAGCAGUGGGGAAUAUUGGGCAAUGGGCGCAACUCUGACCCAGCAACGCCGCGUGAAGGAUGAAGGUCUUCGGGUUGUAAAGUUCUUUUCUCAGGGACGAAGAAAGUGACGGUACCUGAGGAAUAAGCCACGGCUAACUACGUGCCAGCAGCCGCGGUAAUACGUAGGUGGCGAGCGUUAUCCGGAUUGACUGGGCGUAAAGGGCGUGUAGGCGGGUGCGCAAGUUAGUAGUGAAACCUCAGGGCUCAACCCUGAGCCUGCUUUUGAAACUGUGUGUCUUGAGUGCAGGAGAGGCAAUCGGAAUUCCGAGUGUAGCGGUGGAAUGCGUAGAUAUACGGAGGAACACCAGUGGCGAAGGCGGAUUGCUGGACAGUAACUGACGCUGAGGCGCGAAAGCGUGGGGAGCAAACAGGAUUAGAUACCCCUGUAGUC
rnacentral:rRNA from 1 species